rnacentral:rRNA from 1 species
GNGUUUAAAGCAAGCUCGCGCUUGAAUACAUUAGCAUGGAAUAAUGAAAUAGGACGUUUGAUUCUAUUUUAGUUGGUUUCUAGGAUCGACGUAAUGAUUAAUAGGGAUAGUUGGGGGCAUUAGUAUUCAAUUGUCAGAGGUGAAAUUCUUGGAUUUAUUGAAGACUAACUACUGCGAAAGCAUUUGCCAAGGAUGUUUUCAUUAAUCAAGAACGAAAGUUAGGGGAUCGAAGACGAUCAGAUACCGUCGUAGUCUUAACCAUAAACUAUGCCGACUAGGGAUCGGAUGAUGUUAAUUUUUUUAAUGACUCAUUCGGCGCCUUACG